rnacentral:lncRNA from 1 species
AGCACUCGCGCCCUUGGGGGCUAGCGUUUGGCCGGAGCUACACACUCUUUACUCACGCACGCACACCGCCGUACACAGCACAAUCGUUCACCGUCCCGCCAAAGGCUCGUCUCUCGGGUUCUGCCUAGUGGAAGGAGUCGGACAACGCCGCACGUCACGGGCGUUUCGGAUUUCUUGCUUCCCAAAGGUUUGACGGCGGCCACCGGCGCCCCGGCCCAGCUCUGCUUUCCUUUGCUGACUCCUUCCUUUAGGUGUGAAUUUUAAAAUGCUGAUACCGCCCCAAGAGAGCUGAGUCAAGUGAGGCAAACGUUCGCCUGUUGUUCUCCUGACAGACUCCCUGCAGUGGGCAGGGGAAAUGUGGCCUUGGCCGACAUUAAUGAAGUGCCAGGAUGGAGGGAGGGGGCCUGCUGAUUUGUUCUGUUUUACUUUUUAAGGGUAACUAGAGCGUUACUGGAGUCGUCUGUGGGUUUGGGGAGUAUGUGGCGCGUGUGUGUGUCACACAUUUCACUGGCAACUCCCGCCAACCCCUUCCCAAGAAAUGAAGGCUCUAAUGUGGGCAGUUCUGCAACAAAGGUGAAACUUCCCCAAAUCACGAUUCCCCGCAAGAUGAGAGAGCAGGUGCAGCAUCCAUUUUCCCACUAUCACGCUUGAGAUGGUGGCUUUGGGCACUGCCGGGUGCCCCGACAUCCUUCCCAGAGCCCAGCCUUCCCACCCAGGCCCGGCCCUGCGCGGCCGCCUGCCUUUGCAUCAGAGACCGCGGCUGUGCCAUUGCCAAGGUGGGCAGCGCCGCCUCGCUUCCCCAUUCCUCCGUCUCCCACGCCUCUUGCGUGUUUGAGUCGCGAAGUGAUGGACUUUAAAUCUCAGAGGAGGAAUGAGAAACUUGGUUAGUGGCUCUCUUGGCAUGUUCGUAGCCCUGUGGUUGAAGUGGCUGAAACCUGCGUUGAGCCUCAGUCCAAGCAGCUGGGGCCACACCAGUUUGCAAAAGCGGAUGUGGCAGUUUCCACCGCAGCAGCAGCCUGCUGGCGCCUCAUCAGAUUCUCCUUUGGAGGAAGUAUCUUCUUCCCUUCAUUCUCGGUGAAUGGCAUCCAGAGAUAACCAAAAUCAGGUGUAUCUAGUUUCAAGUUCUGUCUUGCAACCGUGAUAAUUGGAGGAUGCAAACUUUACACUUUCUUCUCUAGCUGUCUACCACCACUGCUGCGCUUGUGGAUGACUGCAGGAACACCGGGUACUUGCCACAAGUAUCUCUCCAGAUUCAUCAGCCUUUCACCUGUGACAAGCUCAGUCAAGAAGUGGCUCCUAAGUAAAAGCUGGGGAAGAACAAGGAAGAUAGAGCUCAGAGUAGAAAGCUGUGAAGUUCUGCACAACAGGUCCCCUUGGCCUGCUCUAACAGUUGGAAGGCAUGGUAGCUCAUGUGGAAGCUUCCCGAGGCCCUCACCCAGAAGCAGAUGCUGGAGCCAUGCUUGUACAGCUUGCAGAACUAAAGCCCAGCUGGCUUGGUUCCAUGAAUCUUUGCCCUUCUUUCCAUCCACUUCUUCCUGCUUGGACAUUGGUUACCUGGAGAAGCAGAAGCCAUUUUAAGAUGAUGAAAGCAAAAGUUAAAUGUAUGAGAUGAUGGUGCAGAAAGCCAAAAGGGGCCUCCAGAACACUGAGCUUUGUGGAGUCGUGUACCAUAGCUGUAUUGCCGACCUCUGAACUUCCUGCUGAGAUAAAAAACAAUCCUUAUGUGUUUAUACUACUUUUAUUUCAGUUUCUUUUAAGUAUAGCAAACACAUUCCAAAUAAUAUGCAUCUGAAGUUUUUGGUUUUGUUUUUAAAUUUUUUUUUUAGGGAUGGGUUCUGGCUGCGUAGUGGCUAGAGUGUAGUGGCUA